ACUAUGAAGAGUUUGAUCCUGGCUCAGGAUGAACGCUAGCGACAGGCUUAACACAUGCAAGUCGAGGGGCAGCACGGUGUAGCAAUACACUGGUGGCGACCGGCGCACGGGUGAGUAACACGUGUGCAACCAACCCCGUACCGGGAGAUAACCCGCGGAAACGUGGACUAACAUCCCAUAACACUCUAGAGCCGCAUGGUUCUGGAUUUAAAAUUCCGGUGGUACGGGACGGGCACGCGCGACAUUAGGUAGUUGGCGGGGUAACGGCCCACCAAGCCGACGAUGUCUAGGGGUUCUGAGAGGAAGGUCCCCCACACUGGAACUGAGACACGGUCCAGACUCCUACGGGAGGCAGCAGUGAGGAAUAUUGGUCAAUGGGCGAGAGCCUGAACCAGCCAAGUCGCGUGAGGGAAGAAUGGUCUAUGGCCUGUAAACCUCUUUUGCCAGGGAAGAAUAAAAGGUACGUGUACCUUCUUGCCAGUACCUGACGAAUAAGCAUCGGCUAACUCCGUGCCAGCAGCCGCGGUAAUACGGGGGAUGCGAGCGUUAUCCGGAUUUAUUGGGUUU
rnacentral:rRNA from 1 species